rnacentral:antisense_RNA from 1 species
UGUGGGAGCUGGCUUGCCUGCGAUCGCUCGCUGUCAGUUAAAGAAUUUGCGACUGAUACACCGCCAUCGCAGGCAAGCCAGCUCCCACA